GUGUCAGCCGCCGCGGUAAGACGAACCGUACGAACGUUAUUCGGAAUUACUGGGCUUAAAGGGUGCGUAGGCUGUGCAGAAAGUUGGGUGUGAAAUCCCCCGGCUCAACCGGGGAAUAGCGCUCAAAACUACUGUGCUAGAGGGAGACAGAGGUAAGCGGAACUCAGGGUGGAGCGGUGAAAUGCGUUGAUAUCCUGAGGAACACCGGUGGCGAAAGCGGCUUACUGGGUCUCUUCUGACGCUGAGGCACGAAAGCUAGGGUAGCGAACGGGAUUAGAAACCCUCGUAGUCC
rnacentral:rRNA from 1 species